AUUGAACGCUGGCGGCAUGCCUUACACAUGCAAGUCGAACGGCAGCGGACCUUCGGGUGCCGGCGAGUGGCGAACGGGUGAGUAAUGCAUCGGAACGUGCCAUUGAGUGGGGGAUAACGUAGCGAAAGUUACGCUAAUACCGCAUAUUCUGUGAGCAGGAAAGCAGGGGACCGCAAGGCCUUGCGCUCUUUGAGCGGCCGAUGUCAGAUUAGCUAGUUGGUGAGGUAAAGGCUUACCAAGGCGACGAUCUGUAGCGGGUCUGAGAGGAUGAUCCGCCACACUGGAACUGAGACACGGUCCAGACUCCUACGGGAGGCAGCAGUGGGGAAUUUGGACAAUGGGGGCAACCCUGAUCCAGCCAUGCCGCGUGAGUGAAGAAGG
rnacentral:rRNA from 1 species